ACUUUGCUUCUCAUCGCUGCUUGGGAACUACGAGCAUGUGCUUAAAACUCAAAGAACUUGGCGGCUUGUUAACUACCUAGGGGAAUAUGUGCCUUAAUCCGAUAGUCCUCGACAUAUUUUACUGGGCCUUGAAAAAUCAGUUGGUGUAUUGCCGUUGUCAGCCUGUUGUUGAGCAAAGAGAAACAGGCUUAAAGGAUUCUUUUAAAAAGUAGAAGAGUUCCUUGAAUUCAGGUCGUAAUACUGCCUAUGGCUCUAGGGAGUGGGUGUUACAAUUUUAAGUUGAAAUACGGACCUUUUUAUGAAAAAGAAGCGAAGGUGAACUUAGGAGUAAGGGAAGAUUAGUAUGCUCCCCUGAACGUGAAUCUAGCUUGUGUACAAACUGCCCGUC
rnacentral:rRNA from 1 species